rnacentral:rRNA from 1 species
GAGUUUGAUCAUGGCUCAGAACGAACGCUGGCGGCAUGCCUAACACAUGCAAGUCGAACGAUUGCCUUCGGGUGAUAGUGGCGCACGGGUGCGUAACGCGUGGGAAUCUGCCCUUAGGUUCGGAAUAACAGUUGGAAACGACUGCUAAUACCGGAUGAUGACGUUAAGUCCAAAGAUUUAUCGCCUAAGGAUGAGCCCGCGUAGGAUUAGCUAGUUGGUGUGGUAAGAGCGCACCAAGGCGACGAUCCUUAGCUGGUCUGAGAGGAUGAUCAGCCACACUGGGACUGAGACACGGCCCAGACUCCUACGGGAGGCAGCAGA